GACGAACGCUGGCGGCGUGCCUAAUACAUGCAAGUAGAACGCACAGUUUAUACCGUAGCUUGCUACACCAUAGACUGUGAGUUGCGAACGGGUGAGUAACGCGUAGGUAACCUGCCUGGUAGCGGGGGAUAACUAUUGGAAACGAUAGCUAAUACCGCAUAAUAUUAAUUAUUGCAUGAUAAUUAAUUGAAAGAUGCAAUUGCACCACUACCAGAUGGACCUGCGUUGUAUUAGCUAGUAGGUGAGGUAACGGCUCACCUAGGCGACGAUACAUAGCCGACCUGAGAGGGUGAUCGGCCACACUGGGACUGAGACACGGCCCAGACUCCUACGGGAGGCAGCAGUAGGGAAUCUUCGGCAAUGGACGAAAGUCUGACCGAGCAACGCCGCGUGAGUGAAGAAGGUUUUCGGAUCGUAAAGCUCUGUUGUAAGAGAAGAACGGGUGUGAGAGUGGAAAGUUCACACUGUGACGGUAUCUUACCAGAAAGGGACGGCUAACUACGUG
rnacentral:rRNA from 1 species